rnacentral:sRNA from 12 species
GCCCUACUGACGGAUUGAACGGUAUCCGAUAGCGAGAAUCGGGUAGGGC